GCAAAGUUGUGUAGUGCGAUCGGUGGAUGCCUUGGCACCAAGAGCCGAUGAAGGACGUUGUGACCUGCGAUAAGCCCUGGGGAGUUGGUGAGCGAGCUGUGAUCCGGGGGUGUCCGAAUGGGGAAACCUGGAAUGUCCGGAGUAGUGUCCGGUGGCCCUGCCCUGAAUGUAUAGGGGUGUGGGUGGUAACGCGGGGAAGUGAAACAUCUUAGUACCCGUAGGAAGAGAAAACAAGUGUGAUUCCGUGAGUAGUGGCGAGCGAAAGCGGAGGAGGCUAAACCGUGUGUGUGUUCAAGCCGGCAGGUGUUGCAUGUGCGGGGUUGUGGGGGCCUUGUGGUUCUGCUGCCGCAGGAUUGGCCAGUGAGAAAUGUUGCGUGAAGGUGAAGCGUCUGGGAAGGCGUACCGGAGUGGGUGAGAGUCCUGUAACUGUAAGCGUGGCACUGGUGUGGGGUUGCCCCGAGUAGCGUGGGACUCGUGGAAUUUCGCGUGAAUCUGGCGGGACCACCCGUCAAGCCUAAAUACUCCUUGGUGACCGAUAGUGGAUGAGUACCGUGAGGGAAGGGUGAAAAGUACCCCGGGAGGGGAGUGAAAGAGUUCCUGAAACCGGUCGCAUGCAAGCCGUCAGAGCCUGUGUGGUGAUGGCGUGCCUUUUGAAGAAUGAGCCUGCGAGUUAGUGAUGCGUGGCGAGGUUAACCCGUGGUGGGGGAGUCGUAGCGAAAGCGAGUCCGAUAAGGGCGUGAGUCGCGUGUUCUAGACCCGAAGCGGUGUGAUCUAUCCAUGGCCAGGAUGAAGCGUCGGUAAGACGUCGUGGAGGUCCGAACCCACUUCAGUUGAAAAUGGAGGGGAUGAGUUGUGGAUAGGGGUGAAAGGCCAAUCAAACACCGUGAUAGCUGGUUCUCCCCGAAAUGCAUUUAGGUGCAGCGUUGCGUGGUUCUUGUUGGAGGUAGAGCACUGGAUGGUCUAGGGGGCUUAUCGGCUUACCGAAAUCAGCCAAACUCCGAAUGCUGGCAAGUGUAGCGUGGCAGUGAGACGGCGGGGGAUAAGCUUCGUCGUCGAGAGGGAAACAGCCCAGAUCAUCAGCUAAGGCCCCUAAGUGGUGACUCAGUGGGAAAGGAUGUGGAGUUGCGUAGACAACCAGGAGGUUGGCUUGGAAGCAGCCAUCCUUGAAAGAGUGCGUAAUAGCUCACUGGUCAAGUGAUUCCGCGCCGAUAAUGUAGCGGGGCUUAAGUUAUCCGCCGAAGCUGUGGCAACCUGUGUGGUUGGGUAGGGGAGCGUCGUGUCAGUGGUGAAGCUGCCGGGUGACUGUGUGGUGGAGUUGAUGCGAGUGAGAAUGCAGGCAUGAGUAGCGUGUGACGGGUGGGAAUCCCGUCCGCCGAUUAUCCAAGGGUUCCAGGGUCAAGUUUGUCUGCCCUGGGUGAGUCGGG
rnacentral:rRNA from 1 species